GCGCGGGGUCUCGGCCCGCUCUCCUCCGCGGGCAGUUCGGGCCGGACCCCUGGGUCCUCCGAGCCCCUCCCACUCGGGGGCGGGUCCGGUGCUCGGGCCAAUGAUCGGCCGUCGCCAGGGCCCCGCCCCCGCCCCGCCUCCGGGGCCGCGGUCUCGCUGAGUGCCCAACGGCCGGGCUCCCAGGCCUGGGGCAGCGCGAGCGCCGAACCUUGAGCUGGACACCAAGAUGCCUGGCGAACGGCAGGCAGAAGAGGAGGAGGAGGAAGAGAUGCAGGAGGAGAUGGUGCUGCUGGUGAAGGGCGAGGAGGAUGAGGGCGAGGAGAAGUAUGAGGUGGUAAAACUCAAGAUCCCCCUGGACAACAAGGAGGUCCCGAGCGACGCACCCGCGCCAUCUGCGGACCCGGCGCGCCCCCACGCGUGCCCGGACUGCGGCCGCGCCUUUGCGCGCCGCUCCACGCUGGCCAAGCACGCCCGCACGCACACGGGCGAGCGGCCCUUCGCGUGCACCGAGUGCGGCCGGCGCUUCUCGCAGAAGUCGGCGUUAACCAAACACGGCCGCACGCACACUGGCGAGCGGCCCUACGAAUGCCCCGAGUGCGACAAGCGUUUCUCGGCCGCCUCGAACCUGCGGCAGCACCGGCGGCGCCACACCGGCGAGAAGCCGUACGCAUGCGCUCACUGCGGACGCCGCUUUGCGCAGAGCUCCAACUACGCGCAGCACCUGCGCGUGCACACGGGCGAGAAGCCGUACGCGUGCCCGGACUGCGGACGCGCUUUCGGCGGCAGCUCCUGCCUGGCGCGCCACCGGCGCACGCACACGGGCGAGCGGCCGUACGCAUGCGCCGACUGCGGCACGCGUUUCGCGCAGAGCUCGGCCCUGGCCAAACACCGGCGCGUGCACACGGGCGAGAAGCCGCACCGCUGUGCUGUGUGCGGCCGGCGCUUCGGCCACCGCUCCAACCUAGCGGAGCAUGCGCGCACGCACACGGGCGAGCGGCCCUACCCAUGCUCUGAGUGUGGCCGCCGCUUCCGCCUCAGCUCGCACUUCAUUCGCCACCGCAGGGCGCACAUGCGUCGUCGCCUCUACAUUUGCGCGGGCUGCGGCCGGGACUUCAAGCUACCCCCUGGCGCCACGGCCGCCACCGCCACCGAGCGCUGCCCAGAGUGCGAGGGCAGCUGAGCCGCUGCUCCUGUCGCCGCGACGCUGCGAGCAUCCGGCUGGGGACGGAUGAGAAAAUCCUGGUGCAGAAAGAAGUAUUUUGAUGAACCUCAUCCAGCUCCUAAGUGUCAAAGGUGGCAUUUGAACCCAGACAGCCUGGCACCAGAAUCUGGACUCUUAACCAACACUCCAUAUAGCCUCCUACCCACUUCAUAUGCUCAGAGGGGAGAAGAGACGUGCCUGAGAUCACACUGAAUGUGCUAGAAACCACGUGUGUCUGCCCUGCAGGUGGGAGGAACAAUAGAGAAACAUGGGAACUGAGGGCUCAGAGGCAUCCCUGGUGCCCUUCUGUAGUGCCUGUGGGAGACAGCCUCCCCUGCCAGGAAGAGUCCAGAGGUCGCUGCCCAAGCUGUUUUAUUGGGAAAGAAAACAACAGGAAGUUGUCUUCAGAUGGGGUCAGCAGGCUCCCCGAGGUCGGCCAGCAGUCAGGACCCGAACGCCGCAGCCAGCCUUCUUCCUGACCACGUGGCGGGACCCUCCCCAAAAGAAGGGACAAAGGAAAAAUUCCGGGAACGCUGAAGUAUAUGUAUGCAGUGGAUACUCUUCAGCUGUUAAAAUUGAAUGUGAGCAAUGAAAACAAGUUUGAAUCGGUUUCAGCAAGAAAAGGGAAUUUAUUAUAAGGAUACAACAGUGUCUCUAGGCUACAGCUGGGCCUCUGGAGUGAACUGGAACUGUGGUCGCUGUUUGAAUCAUUGCAACUGUAUUCACUCAUUUCAUCCUCAAAGCAGCCCUGUGAGGAAGAUGAGAAAACCCUGGUGCAGAAAGAAGUAUUUUGAUGAACCUCAUCCAGCUCCUAAGUGUCAAAGGUGGCAUUUGAACCCAGACAGCCUGGCACCAGAAUCUGGUCUCUUAACCAACACUGCACACAGCCUCCUACCAACUUUAUAUGCCCAGAGUGGGGAAGAGACUUGCCUGAGAUCGCACUGCGAAUGUGCUAGAAACCAGGUGUGUCUGCCCUGCAGGUGGGAGGAACAAUAGAGAAAUGUGGGAACUGAGGGGCUCAGAGGCAUCCCUGGUGCCCUUCUGUAGUGCCUGUGGGAGACAGCCUCCCCUGCCAGGAAGAGUCCAGAGGUCGCUGCCCAAGCUGUUUUAUUGGAAAAGAGAACAACAGGGAGUUGCCUUCAGGUUAGUGUGGAAUUCAGACCUCAGCAGAUGGGGCCUCAGCCCACGUUCUUUUUGGAAAGGACUAGAACAAGGUUCUGUGGUCUUCUCCUCAGGUUCCAUGCUGAGCCACAAGUCCUACACCCAUGCCUCUAGGCAGAGGCCUGGCCUGAGGACUCGGGGACAAGGUCUAUAGGUCCCACAGCCCCGUCUUCGGAGACAGUCCCAUGGGGCAAGUCCGUAUACUUGCGGGAAGAGCCGCGGGACAGAUGGGCUGGGUAGCGUCUCCGGUUGGUCUCCAUCUUGGAGAGCACUGCUCGAGGCAGAUCCACAUGGCAGCGGGCUGCCAAUGCCACCAGGUAGAUGAGGACAUCACUAAGCUCCUCCUGGAGGGCUGCCCGCUCCCUGGGAGGCCAGGCUUGGGGUCCAGGCUCGUCAUCCGGCUUCCACUGACUGGGGACAGAACACACAGACAGACAGACAGAUGCUAGCUAUGACAAUGGGCUCCGCCUCCCUCAAGAGCACCAAGUCCUUGCAGUCAUGAACUCAGCAACUGCCCAGGAACCACCUCCCUCCAAGGACAACACAAACCUUCUGGGCCCUGGGCACAGUCAAGGUGGGGAGGGGCCCUCAACAGAUGAUUCCCCCAGACCGCUCAUUCACUACCUGAGCUGAGGCCACCAAGGGGAGAUUUCACUUGUUCAGACAGUGCUUUGAGACCCAAUUUCAUUCUCUCCUGUGCUAACACUGCAACCCCAGACUAAACCUCAGGCCUGGACCACUGCAGACCCUCCUAACUCACCUUUCCUACUUGGACUCUUGCCCAAAACCAUCCUUAAGAGCACAGAUUACAUUUUGUCUCUCCCCUCUUCUAAACACUCCCUAACUGUUUUAGGAAUGAAAUAUAAACUGAACAUGCUUGCUGGCCCUUGUAUGAUCUGUGCCCGACCUCUUCCAAUGUUGUUGCCCACCACUAUCUCUCCCACUCCCCACCUGCAGCCACUCUGCCCUUUUCUGUCUCAGAAACAGGCCAAGCUGUUGCAGGGCCUUUGCACGUCCUGUUCCCACUGCCCUGAAUGCUUUUCCUUACCCCAGAAUGGUCUCAACUCAAAUGUCACCUCGGAAAAGACUUUGCUUGCAGUUAACUUGUCUGGUCACCUUGUGCUAUUUUCCUCAUAGUACUUGUCAUGAUUCCAGAUCUUUUAAAGUGAGUCUAUUUAUUUAUUCUCAGCCUCCCUCCAUUAACACAUUAGUUGUGUGGUAGUAGGAAAUGUGUCUGUCGUGUUCAAGGACACACAGCUGAUGAUCAUAAAUCUGUAAUGAAUGAAUAGCUUUGCCAUCUCCAUGGCAACUGGUCUAGGCCUCACCAUCUCCUCCCUGGUCUACCUUCUCACUGGUCUCCCCUGCCCAUUCUCUCUGUGAUCCAGUCCACCCUGCAGACACAGCAUCUUUCUACCACCCAAAUCUGGUCAGGUCACCUGUCCCAACUCCAUCACUUUCUAGCCCUAAUCCUAUCUUCCUAAGCUCAUCUCCCACCCCUCCACCACCCCCCUGCCACUCAUUAAAUAGGUAUCUAGUAAGUGAGGUUCUCUGGUGAGAACCAAACAGUUACAAGAUCCCUGCUCUUCACUGAGAUGCUUACAUUCCGAUUCUCCCUGAAUUUAAUUUGUCCUUUUCUGCCUCACCACCUUUGCAAAUUUGUAAUUCCCACAUAGGCAGGCCUAGAGAACACUUCUUUCCCCAACCAGAGGUCCAGGUAAAAGGCUGCUGCCACAACCCCUUCAUGGGCCCAUAUCUGCCUGUCUCUCCUAGGAGACGGGGUGCCCCUAGAGGGAAGGGAGCAAGUGAGUCAUCUUUGUAGCCCCAGCCCCAGGCACUGAGGGGAAUCUGAAUCUGUGGAUGUUUUAAAAUCAAAUACAGGCCCCCCUCCCCAGCAACACACAGACCCUUCCAGGAAGCCUUCCAUCUACUCACAAGAGCUCUGCCAGCUCCCCUACUUCCCCCACCAAGGCCAGGAGCAGGUUCCGAGGCUGGUGGAACUGGCCCCAGUCUCUCUCAGCGGCGAACUCAGCGUGGAGACGGCGGCUGAAAUAGAGCAAAGGGGUGGAAGCUUAGGGUCCCAGGCUUAGGGGCUGGAGGAGGAGGAGUCACAGGGCUCAGGGCCCCAGUGACAUGUAAUGGGGACAUGGGCAUUAGGAGAGUCUGCAGCUAAUUCCCUGGAUGGCCGUGGACAAGUCAAUCCUUCUCCACAGGCCUUGGUUUCCUCACUAUUCCUCUACACACACCCUAAAUUCCAGCCAAAUCAAAUACCCUCUUCCCCACUAUCCCAACUCUGGCUGCUGCAUCUGCCGUUUCCUCCAUCUGGAAUCUCCUUCCCCUGUC